UACGUAGGGUGCAAGCGUUAAUCGGAAUUACUGGGCGUAAAGCGUGCGCAGGCGGUGAUGUAAGACAGGUGUGAAAUCCCCCGGGCUUAACCUGGGAACUGCAUUUGUGACUGCAUCGCUGGAGUGCGGCAGAGGGGGAUGGAAUUCCGCGUGUAGCAGUGAAAUGCGUAGAUAUGCGGAGGAACACCGAUGGCGAAGGCAGCCUCCUGGGCCAACACUGACGCUCAUGCACGAAAGCGUGGGGAGCAAACAGG
rnacentral:rRNA from 1 species